UUAGACACCUUAUUUAUAUAGGUUAGUUAUUUUAGUUAUUUAGCGACGCACCAUAGUAGACGCAUAUUGAACGGGACUAGUGACGUUUGGGAUAUGUUGGGUUAGAGACCGGAAAAUCAGUUAGCGUUAGAACACUCCAGGGUAACGACGUGUUUAGUGACAGAGACUUCUACUGUGGCCUUUUAUCAUAAUAAAUAUAUAUUAACUUGUUCAUCAUCGUUGACUACAUCUCUUCACCUGUUACAAUUGAUGUGCCGGUUCUUGUUUGUGUUGUUGGUCAACUACACGUAAUACACCCGAACAAUUACACCCAAACGAUUGCAGAGUAAUUGGUUGACUUCAAGACAGCCUGAACUAGCAACAUCACAGUGGCGACCCCGAACCUCGAAGCCCGACGAACAUCGAACCGGACCUCGAAGCAGAACGUUUACUCAGGUGAGGGUCGUGCACUCGAAGUUAUAAGAUUUCAUCGGAGUACGGCUGAACACAGCAGCAUCGCAGAGUGACUUUGUUCUGGAUCUACAUACAGUCGUCGCCUGUUUGAUCGCACGUUCAACGAGCCGUUAACUCAGGGUGACCUUCGUCAGGACCGUAAUCAUCGCAACGCCUGAUCUUCAUAUGCUGAACCGACCUACAACCAGAGAAACCGUUCAUUCAUAACGGGUGAGAGAUCGUUAGUGAACCUGUUGGACAUAUUUUUUCUUCGUCAUAGGAGCCACAUUGAGUAUCAAGUUUUACCUCGUCAGUUUCGAGAAGGACAGUUUGCCCGCUGUCAGAAGUAUUGUGAGUACUACAAGUUUGGUAGCUAACUAAAUCGAAAUCGCUCUGUCGUCUUACCCUUGGAGAGAUUCUUGUGGAGCAGUUUGCUCAUUGAACCGGUUGCUUGCCACGUUUAUAACGGUCACUGUGUUUAACCUUUGGAAGGUUAGUGAAGUAAUCUUUAUCAGUACUGAACAUUGAUCUAUCUAGUAUUCGUCGGUCUAGACCAUACCUAGACUUGUUAGCAGUGAAGUUGUGGAAACAGCUACAUCCACUUAAUUUCGUUGAAAACCGUUAGUCGUAUAACGGAACGUCGUCGGAGGUGACCUUGGUCUCACCUAGUCUACAUUGGACAGUUUGGUCUAGUGAAGCAGAGUACAACAGCAAACUUCGUCGUACUACCAGAGUAGCAGCAGAAGCAGUGAACUAUUUUAGAGAACCGUUAUUCGUCAGCCCAGAUCAAGUCAUCGUCAAGAAAUUCGUUAUUCGUCAGUCGUCCAGAUCAAGUUGCCGUCAAGAGACUGUUAUUUGUCAGUAGUCAUCUACACAAGUCAAGUCAUCGCCAGAAGAACCGUUAACCUAUUCGUCAGUAACUGUGUACACAAAGUCGUCGGAACUACACAUACGGUCAUCAACAGUCGUCGAAGAAACUGGAACAUUUUGCUGUGGCAUAUCAGGACAUCUGUGGCAUUACGUGGGAUACUGGUAGCACCGGAGAACAGAGUCAGAACUGGAAGAGAGGCAGUGGAAUUUGUUGUGAUCUAACAUAUUCGGGAGUCCGAACAAAGGGAUCUUUCUUAUCAAAAGCUAAGUGCCAUUUUUCUUAUUAGUAUAUGUUUAGAUUGCCCUUAGAAAUAGAUUUUGUCUAAAUUUGGUACGUUAGCCUGAGUAAAAUCAGGUGGUGCGCCUUAAAACCCGUCGGGGUAGAAGACGUAAUUUAGAUGAAAAGCUAUAUUAUACGUUUAGGGUUGUAAUUUGUUUUGUUUGUGUAAACGUCAUAUCCGUUGUUGCCUGGUUACUUCGUGACGUUAUCAUUGUGUGCCAUAUUGUCACAUCCCAACCCAUAGUGAUAGUCUCAUUUAAUUAUUUCAUUUGUUUAUAUUAUUUUAAAUUAUUUAUUUUUAUUAAUUUAAUUAGAUCUGUAAUUUUUUUCACUUAAUGAUAGAAAGUGCGGGUAGGAUUCUUUUACUGUGAAUCAGACUAAAAUAAUUUUAGUUUGAGCGGUUAAAAUCAAAUAUGAUUUUGCCAUGAGAAUAAUGCCGAAACUGGCUAUGUAGUCAAACACUAUCGUCUGGCUAAAUUUAGAUCUGCAAAUUGUUGUACAUCUCUUUGGUACAAUUUAAUCAUCUAGACUCUAAUUUGAAAUAUUAUUAAUUGAAAAAUGAAUGAAGAUUACUGCCAGUGAAGAACAUUUGAGAUGUGUAGGACAUGCCCAUAGGAUGCCACAUUUUCCUCUAUGAUGAACUGUGUACUAAGGAGGAUGAUUCUGGAAUGUUAUGAACUGUUAUGAACAUUGACAUUGAAUAUGAAGAACUGUCAAGUCAAGAUGAAAAUGUCAAGAUGAAGAAGUCAAGAUGAAGAUGUCAAGAUUUUAUGUUUGUUGUCUUCCCCUUAAAUUGAAAAUGCCCUUGUAAGACUUGACAGUAGUGGAAAAAUAUUGACAUAUUUUUUUUUCAAGGGGGGGAGGAAUCUGUUAGACACCUUAUUUAUAUAGGUUAGUUAUUUUAGUUAUUUAGCGACGCACCAUAGUAGACGCAUAUUGAACGGGACUAGUGACGUUUGGGAUAUGUUGGGUUAGAGACCGGAAAAUCAGUUAGCGUUAGAACACUCCAGGGUAACGACGUGUUUAGUGACAGAGACUUCUACUGUGGCCUUUUAUCAUAAUAAAUAUAUAUUAACUUGUU